CUCAACGUCACGUAGCAGACGAGAUCAAAGUUCCGAUUGGCCCAUAGAAAUGCACAUAAAUCGGCGGGAAGAACAAUCUCAGCAAAAACAGAUAAUUGAUAUUUUAUCCACCCGCAUUCCGCGAAGACCCGCCCCUCCGCUGCCUCUGAUUGGCUCUGACUGUGAUAUUCUCAUCCUAACCCAAUCAUCUCACUCCUCCUGGCUAAACCUAACCAGAGCCAGCCAAUCAGAGGCAGAGUAGGGCGGGUCUUCGCGGAAUGCGGCUGGGAAAAAAUGAGAAGGGUCCGGCUGCGGCCUGUGGACCAUGAAUGUGUAAAGACAACUCAAUUUAUACAUCCAUGCUGUAGACCAGGAGGCGUCAGCCUCUACUUAAAACCUCGGGUGUAAUCCCCCCUGCGACCACCAUGUAAGUUGCAAUGGCAGAGUGGCGCUGUCCGUUUACCUGCUCGUUGACUCCACGGGAAAUUAAGACAGCAGAAGCAGCAACAAAGUUUACAACUAACUUGAAACUAACCCUGAAAACUUUAGCCUAAAUAUGAGAUAUUCGUGUGUUUUUUUAUGUUUGUGGUGAAUGAAACUCUGAAGACUUUUCUUUGUUCGAGCUGAUAUUUAUCUGCUGGCCUUCAGUUAGUUUGUUCCUGACAUUUAUUCAGCUGUUUCUCCGCCGUGGAGCCGGAUGAACGAUAAGAGACAAUGUCGUUUCAUCUCUGAAUUUUUUUGUCAUAUUGAUAACGUAAUCUUAUCGAUGAUCUCUCCACGCGAUAACACUAGUAAUAUUAAUUGGUAACAACACCAAUGAACACCAGAUGACCGUACUGCUCUGUCUCCUGUAUUUGUGACUGACAGUAAACCAGAGCAUUAUUGUCUGUGAUGUAGUCAGACUGAUAAUUUGAGUCAGAUAAACAAAGCCACGCCACGCUUUUAUAAAAGGUAAACACGGCUGUGCACGAUGUAACUCAGUAAAUAAACACUAAAACUCAGUAAUAUUUGAGGUGUGAGUUAUAUAAGAGUUAGUUUGUUUUUCCUGUUUUGGAAUACACGUGCACACUGAAUUAUUGACCUAAUAAGAAAUGCCUUAUUUUUAUUUUACCCCUAAUCCUGUCUGUCCCUGUAUUCUGAUCACAGGCUGCAGGUUCAGUAAAUCCAGAUUUCUUUAGUUCUGUCUUUCUCUGUCUGAAAUCAGUGCAGUUCAGGUCCGUUCAGCUGCUGAAGAACUAUGAGGCAGCAUGUGGAGCAGCAGGACUGAUUGAUAUGUUUGUGAAUGUAUUGAUAUAUUUUAUAUCUUUUUUUUUCUUGGUAAAAGCAGAAUCACACACAGCAGGAUGAAACAUCUGCAGCUACAGACACAGCAGAUACCUGCUCAGCCUUCUCAUCAUGACCUCUGACCCUCAGCAGUGGCCUUCACUCAGGCCUCUAAUCCUGCAGGUCUGAUGGCUCCAGGAUGAGGAUGAGGAUCACACACUGGGUGAGUACAUAGUUUCAGUUCAGCGUCAUGCUUUUUCCACAGCUGAUCUGUACUGAUGAGUGUCAGUAAUCUCACUGGGUUGUGCAUAUUUUCUUUACAGUCAGCAGAGACUGAGCCUGAUCUGAACCAAAAGGUUCUCUGUGAUCACAGCGAUGGAUACGUCUAUAAUUCUGUGACAUCAUCAGGAGAUCUGGAUCAACAGACCUGAUGCUGCUUGUCAACCCUGUAAAAGCUCCUGUGUCUCCUUGAACUGGUCUCAUCUUCAGUCCAUCAGUGCAACAUGCAUCUCUCCAGACUCUUCUGGUCGUCCUCCUUCACCUCAGACCUCCAUACAUCCCUCCUCUGGUCAGACUGCAGCCGCAGCUCUGACAGGACCACAACCAGCCAGACUUUUUGUUUGCCAUGUCUGUAUUGACUUUGUGUAUUCAUCAACAUCAUCAACAUGUGUAUAAGCCAAUCAUAUUGGCUGUUAUGUAUGAUUUCAUCAAAUGUAUUGAAUUAUAUAUAAAUAUAUAAUAAAUGUCUCUCCUUAUUAGUUGUGUGAAUAACAUGCAGUGAUCUUUACACAGACUAUAUAAUGUUUAUCAAAAAUGACAAAGUUAAGAAAAUGUGUGUACGAAAAGAAGAGAACCUAAUAAUAUUUAAUAAUCAUCAUUAGUUAAGAGUAACGAUCAUCGUCACUCUGGACCAGGACACUGCUGAAAAAGAUUGUCAGUGUCAUCUCAAUGAGGUUUUCCAGGUUAAAUAAAGGUUAAGUAAAAAGUAAAAACAAUAAUAAUAAAAAUGUGUUUAAAUGGUAAAUGUCAUAACUGUUGGUCAGAAUGCCUUUUAUUCAAGUCAUUUUGUAGAACAUAAUUUUACAUUGUGAGUGUUUGAAACAUUGAAAAUGAUCUGAAAAAGUAUUUUGGACAAAUUUUGAAUUCAUUGUGUGCAACGAGUUUGCAGAUAUAUUUACGCCACUUUCCUGAUUGUCUAAUAAGAAUAAGAAUAUUUCCAAACCUCAAACCUGAGAAUGCAGAUUUUUGGUACCAUGGAUUUUACAGCACCACCUGGUGACACUUUUAACUUCCAACCUUUAAAAUUUCAUUAUCAUGUGUGGCCAAGAAUGAUGAGCUCCUUUAAUCGCAUUUAUCAUAGAUCAAAAAAAAAAAUAGCAGUGUGAUUUAGUAUC